rnacentral:lncRNA from 1 species
UAUUAUAUCAACAUGACGUAACAAUUACUGACAUUGAAAAAAUUUGUCCAUAUGACUAAGAAUAGUGGAAUCCUGGAAAAGCUUUUUAUUAGAAAAGCUUGGGUAAUUGAGUUUUUCCAAGUUUUUUUUUUCUUAAUAUCAGCUCAUGAACAUGAUUUUUUGAAAACACUCAAAACUUCAGAAACUAUAGCUUAUAUAAAGAGCAAAUGCUACAACAAAGAUAUAAAAUAGAAUCAAGCAACAGUAAUUAAAAGAACUAUGUAGUAAUUAUCAGUGUUUGACAUUGAUAUGCCAUAACAAUAAUGUUACGACAGCUCAAAAAUAUAAAGUAACCGUAGAUGAUGUCACAAAAUGUCAGAGUGCAUAACAUAAUUGUUGCAUAGCAAUGAGUGCUGUCACAAAUGUUCAAACAUACCAUGUAACAAUGGAUGAUGUCAAAACAGUUCCAAUGUAUAGUGUAACAAUUAGUGAUGCCUCAGAGUGACACCAGUAUGUGAUAUCACAAUAAUUCCAUUGUAUGAUGUAACAAUGGAUGAUGUCCCAGAUCAUCAUCAGUACUUGAUGUCAUUGUGAUGCACUGGAUGAUAUCAGGAAACAUCAGACUCACAAAAGUUCUGAUGUAUGAUGUCAGUGGCUUAGCUAAGAUUGGGCAGAGGUGGCAGUCUGCCCUGGAUGACAUGCUUUUUGGGCAGCAUUUUUGGCAUUAUUUUUAAAUACUUUUUUAAUAAUAAGAAAAAUAAAAUGAUUAUUCCAAGAAUUAAUAAUUAUAAAAAUUAUACGACUAUCAUUGAAAAAUGUUGUCCAAGGUCCUUAAUCCAAUUGAACAAAAAUAUGCUGUUAAUUGUUGUUAUAGCCACAGAGCAUGGAGUGAUAGAGGGAUUAUAACAUUUGUAAUUUUAUGUUUUAAUUUAUAAAUAAAAGAAAUAAAAUUAUCUUUUCUUUAGACAUAAUUUGAAAAUUAAGUUUAAUAGAUUUGAUU